rnacentral:misc_RNA from 1 species
CAAGACAUCAUAACAACGACGUCAAAAUAGGUCGUGCGUGGGAAGGAAGUACGCGAUAUUGAAGUUGAAGGUUUUAUUGUCGACGAUCCUGCGGAACUACAAGAUCCUGUCGGAUCUCACAGAAAAGGACUUCCGGCUGAAGGUUGACAUUAUUCUCAAAAGAGUAGACGGCUUCCGAAUAAAAAUCGAGCCACGAAACAAAAGCAAUCAGGAGGUUCUCGUUUAAAUGAAGUUCUCAUAGAUGAUUCGUACUAUAUUAUUAACGUUAAUAGUAAUAACAUGUUCAAA